GGAAUUUCACAUGGAACCUUUACUAAGGAAUCGUUCCUCCUUUGGUGCUCUUUUCAAGCUUGUAAAUGGUAUCAGCUCUGCAGAAGAUAAGCCGUGUGUGGAUGUGCCAUAUGCUAACUUUUGGUUUUCCAUCCAGUGACGGAAGGAUACUUUAGUUUUCCUUAUCACUUGCUGGUGAAGACUGUAUUUUUAAAUGGAUACUAUACAAACUAAGUCAUCACAGAAAAAGAAAGAGGCGAUACCAAGAAAGGCUUCAACAGAGCCCUUCUCUCUGCCCACAGGCAAAAGACUCCGUAAGACUAUGUGAUUUGGAUACAUCCAAGGGAUAUUCUCGUUGAAAGGUCAGCUGUGGUAUGUAGCAUCUACCUGCAUUAAUACACUGGGCCUGGGGGUGGAGAGAUGGCUCAGCUGUCAAGAACACUGGCUGUUCUUCAAAGCACUGGCCAGAAGAUCUAGAGGACCACAAGUCCCAGCACCUACAUGGCAGAUCUCAUCUGUUUGUAACUCUAGGCUCAGGGGAAUCAGAUGCCUUCUUCCGGCAUCCACAGGCACCAGGAAUACAUGUGCUGUAUAGACUUGCAUACAUGCAUGCAAAACAUACAUAUGUAGAAAAUAAUAAAUACUUCACCGGGCCUUUGUUUAGAUUUAAAUGUAAUAAUAUACCACGUAUUUAAUUUAUUUACACAAACAUAUUUUUGGAGAGCUACAGAAUUUCACACACUGGAGGAUGCUGAAGGAAUAGUAAAAUCUAAAUUACUGCUUUUACAAUGAAUGCAUUUCUAUUGGUUGAAAAUAAAUAAUGUUGGAUAAAAAAAUCAUCUUCUUUUUCACUUGUUCUGUUGAGUUAAAAAUAAAAAUAGAGUCCCCUUAAAAAGAUCCUGAACAUCCACGAGGGAGGAAACCCAAGCAUGACAGUGGGGCCAAUACACAAGCUAAGACACACACAUUGCCUCCUGUGUUUCCACUUAACUGCUCCUUGCUCUACACCACACAGCCUUUCCUGGAAGAGUUGUCAGAACAGGAUAUGAUUUGCUGAUAUUCUUCUACCAGAGAGGAAGCUUGCAUAAUUAGACCUUCACCCUCUGAACCUAAUCGAACAUGAAGCACAGCCCAUAGGAUUAAAGGGAGGGGAAACUGGUAGGGAGA
rnacentral:sRNA from 1 species